rnacentral:misc_RNA from 1 species
CAUUCAGUAGCCUAGCUACUUGUUUAUACCCUUGUUUUUUUGCGUACCUAUUGCUUCCUCGGUGGGCUUGCCUGCCGGUUGGACAAAACUAUAACCUUUUUAAAUCUUCAAUCAGCGUCUGAAUUAUACAUAAUAAUUA